UGGGGAAUCUUGCGCAAUGGGGGAAACCCUGACGCAGCGACGCCGUGUGAGGGAAGAAGGCUUUCGGGUCGUAAACCUCUGUCAGGAAGGAAGAACCUCUCAAGGCUGAACAAGCCUUGGGACUGACGGUACUUCCAGAGGAAGCACCGGCUAACUCCGUGCCAGCAGCCGCGGUAAUACGGAGGGUGCAAGCGUUAAUCGGAAUCACUGGGCGUAAAGCGCGCGUAGGCCGUCUUUUAAGUCGGACGUGAAAGCCCUCGGCUCAACCGGGGAACUGCGUUCGAUACUGGGAGACUUGAGUCCUGGAGAGGGUGGCGGAAUUCCUGGUGUAGGAGUGAAAUCCGUAGAUAUCCGGAGGAACACCGGUGGCGAAGGCGGCCACCUGGACAGGUACUGACGCUGAGACGCGAAAGCGUGGGGAGCAAACA
rnacentral:rRNA from 1 species